UUAAAAUGGAGUGAAAAGGUA
rnacentral:piRNA from 1 species